GACGAACGCUGGCGGCGUGCUUAACACAUGCAAGUCGAACGGAAAGGCCCUGCUUUUGUGGGGUGCUCGAGUGUCGAACGUGCGAGUAACACGUUAGUAACCUGCCCUUGACUUUGGGAUACCUUCAGUACACUGGGGCUAAUACCGGAUAGGAGCUCCUGCUGCAUGGUGGGGGUUUGAAAGUUUCGGCGUUUGGGGAUGGACUCGCGGCUUAUCAGCUUGUUGGUGGGGUAGUGGCUUACCAAGUCUUUGACGGGUAGCCGGCCUGAGCGGGUGACCGGCAACAUUGGGACUGAGAAACGGCCCAGAAGCCUACGGGAGGAAGCAGUGGGGAAUAUUGCACAAUGGGCGGAAGCCUGAUGCAGCAACGCCGCGUGCGGGAUGAAGGACUUCGGGUUGUAAACCGCUGUCGCCUGUGAAGAAGAGUGAGUGACGGUAAUGGGUAAAGAAGCACCGGCUAACUACGUG
rnacentral:rRNA from 1 species